UUUUGAUUUGUGGCGACUGGCGAGUGAAAACCGUUUCAACAAGUAGUUCAAAUCCUAGCAGAGCCCAAAUUGCAGUCUGCAUAUGAUCACUUGUGGUGUGCCGCUAAGGAGAAUUAAUGCAGAGAAAGUGUUGUCAGAGUUCAUACAUAAUUUGAAGGCUUGCAGGUUUUGUGAGUGCAAAUCCAAAAAUAGUCAUAUCUUUGUUUUCUGGGAAAUUCAGGGAUGGAGAGGUCUCUCCUGAACGUUUGCAACCAUGAUGCAAUCCCAUGAAUGGUUUUUCUUUUUUGUGAUGUAUAAUAUACUGCAUGCAUACCUUUGAUCGGCUUAUACGAGUUCAAACUAUAAUAAAUUUAGUGUUUCCAUAAUAAUCUACAGCUCAGGAUCAUGCAUCUCUUGCCUAGGCAAGUUCUUGGAAGAUAAACAUUUGAGUUGGCUGCAGCCACUUUGGAUGAUCAAUAAGCUUUUGUAAGGAACGAAUGGUUCACUGGCAUGCCAUUAGUUACUAUCUUUUAUAUACAAGUGAGGUCCUAAGACUUCCCCAAGGAAACCUGGCACAGAGGAAGAAUGGUCCUCUCCAUGUGAAAGCUAAAGCGACACUGAAGGUUCUUGUUUAGUAUCAACAGAUGCAGAUGCAGAAAAUGAGGCUCACGAGACUCUUCGUGAACUGACACAACUUAUGCGGGAACUUACAGUUGAUGUGGAGGAAAUGAAGGCCGCCAUCAAAAAGAUUUCUGAUAACGUUGCUGAAUUUCUCAGGAGACAAGAGGACUCCUCCAGCUAGGUCUAAGAAAAAUUAAAAUUUGGCCCAGUCUCACUCUAAGCUGAUCAGCCUGGAAGCUUAAUUACUUGCAUUUCAUAACGUUCUGGGUGCUAGUUGAAGCUAAUUAUGUUUUCUUUCAAGUACUUCUAUGCUAGGGUCUUAAGUCGUGUUUAUUUUCUAGUACUGUUUAGGAUUUGCUGAAAUCUUAUUAUGUAGCUAUGCAUUAUGAAGCGUUUUACCCCUAUUUUUGUUGAUGACAAAAUGGGGAGAACGUGUUUGAUGGAUAUGUUUUAAUGCAUGAGGGAUAAUUUUAAUAUUUGGAUGCUUUUGCAUGAAUACUAUUGUUCGCUUUACUGCAAAGAAUUUUCCUACAUGGCAAUUUCAAUUUAAGAUGUUCUUGAAAGGAAAAGAAUUAUCACAUCACCUUGAUAGUUCUAUUCUAGUUCCCACUGAUGAAAAGGAACUUGCCCAAUAGGAGGUGAAGAUGCUAAGGUUAUCUCUUGGCUAUUGGGAACGCUUGAGCCCCAUCUUGUCACCAAUCUUCGGUGUUUUACUACUGCUCAAACUAUGUGGGCCUAUUUGCAUUGUAUUUAUCACCAAGAUCACAACGCUCGGAAAUUCCAAUUGGAGUUGGAAAUUAGCACUUAUGCUCAAGGUAAUUUGACCAUUAAGCAAUUUUAUUCUGGUUUUAUUAAUAUUUGGAGCUAGUAUUCUGCUAUUGUUCAUUCUAAGGUUCCCACCGCGUCACUCACUGCUCUUUAAGCGGUUCAUGCUGAGCGUUGACACGAUCAAUUUUUGAUGAAGCUUUGACCUGAAUUUGAGCCUAUUUGAGCCAGUUUAUUGAACCAUGAUCCAGUUCCUUCCAUGGAUAUUUGCUUGGGAGAUUUAUUGCGUGAGGAACAACGAUUAUCCACUCAGAUAGGUAUGACUUCUGAGAGCGCAUUUUCUGAGGCUGUGAAUAUAGCCUAGCAGCACAAGGGAAAGGGAGGAACAAGUUGCAGUGUUUCAAUUGCAAGGAGCACGGUUGCUCGCAACUGUCCGAAGAAAGUUUGUAACUACUACAAGAAAGAGGGUCAUCUUAUCAAAGAUUGUAACGUGCGGCCUCAAAAUCGCCAAUCCCAAGCCUUUCAAGCUGUUGUUCAGUCCUCGUCUUCUUCUGCUCUCCCACUGUAAGCUCUGAUUCUCUCUGUUCUCACGCCUGCCAUGGUCCAGCAGAUGAUUGUGUUUGCUUUUUUGGCUCUAGGCCUCCAAGGUACAAAUCUUACCUCCAUUUCUUCUUGGAUUGCUAAUCUGAGUGCCUCUAAUCAUAUGACUGGUAGUACGACGGGUCUCCAUGAUGUUCGUAAGUAUGGAGGCACGCAAACUAUUCAGAUUGUUGAUGGCAGUACACUUCUUAUUACUGCUGUUGGUACUCUGGGUUCUUUAUUUUGAAAUAUUUUUGUCUCUCCUGGUUUAUCUACCAGUUUGAUUUCUGUUGGCUAAUUGGUGUAUAAUAACUAUGAAGCUCAUUUCUCUCGUGGUGGUUGUCAUGUGUAGGAUCAGGUGUCGGGGAUGAUGAUCAUGAAGGGGUCUAAAAUGAAACGUCUAUUUCCUUUACAAUAUUGUAUUCCUAAUGCUGUUUCUUUUGCUUGUACAGUUAUUACCAAUAAUAAUGAAGUAUUGCAUAAGAAAUUAGGUCAUCCUAAUUCUAAUAUUUUGACUUAUCUUUUGAAACAUGGUCUUUUUGGGCAAUAAAGAUUCAUUUUCUUCAUCUCCUGCAUCUUUUAAUUAUGCUACUUGUCGUCUUGGUAAAAGUAAAACAUUACUUUUUUUUCCUAUGCAUGGUAAUCAUGUUUCUACUUGCUUUGAAAUUGUGAAUACUGAUGUUUGGGGUGUCAUUCCUAUUAUUUCUUAUGAUUAGUAUUGUUAUUUUAUGAUAUUUAUCAAUGAUUAUAAUCGAUUUACUUGGAUUUACUUUCUUCGUUCUAAAGCUACUAUUUUUCAAACUUGUUAUGCUUGUUGAGACAUAGUUCCGUACUUAUAUCAAAACCUUACACUUCGACUCAGGAGAGGAAUAAAUGUUUCAUUCCUUUCAGGCUUAUCUUCAACAUAAAGGGAUUAUUCCCAGCAUUCUUGUCCUUAUACCCCUCAACAAAAUAAAAUCGUUGAGCAUAAGAAUCAUCAUCUCUUAGAUGUUGUUUGUACUUUUUUGAUUGAUUCGUCUGUACCUUUUAAGUUCUAGAUAGAAGAUUUAUCUACUACUGUUUAUUUGAUCAAUCGUUUGCUUACUGCCACUCUAAAUUAUGAUUCUCUUUAUUUUUUAUUAUUUGACAUAUCUCUUAAGUAUCAAUCAUUCCAUACUUUUAGGUGUGUUUGAUUUGUUCACUUACCACUUGUUGAUCGUCACAAGCUUGUUGCCUAGUCUGUCACGUGUACUUUUACGGGAUAUAACCCUACUUAGAAAGGAUUUGUUUGUUAUGAUGCUCAUGCGAACAAAUUCCAAAUCUCCCGGAAUGUGAUCUCUUUGAAAAUCAAUAUUUCUUUCAGUCUCAAGUUAUUUCUGAUCCUCCUAUUACUCUUCUAUCUGCUUUUAAUGUUGCAUCUUUUUCUAUUAAGCGAUUUAAACUAGGUGUGGUGCAUCAUAGACGUCCUUCUUCAACGCUUCUUCUAGACACUAAUCCAUCAUCUGGUUCGACGCUUCCUACACUUCGACGCUCCACUCGGGUUACACAUCCACCAGAUAGGUUUUUUCUCAUACCUCGCUUAUUGCCACUCUAGACAUUGUUUUUGUUCCUCACUCUUAUACUCAGGCAACCACUUAAGCAUAUUGGCAGCAGACCAUGCAAGAAGAAAUCCAAGCUCUCUAAGAAAAUCACACUUGGGAUCUUAUGACUUGUCCAUCAGGUGUCAAAGCUAUUGGUUGUAAAUGGGUAUACUUAAUCAAGUUUUGGUCUGAUGGGUCACUGGAUUAAUAUAAGGCUUAUCUUGUGGCCCCUGGGAAUCGACAAGAGUAUGAUAUUGAUUAUGAAAAGACAUUUGAACCUGUUGCCAAAAUGACUAUUGUACGGACUAUCUUGGCACUUGCUGCGUCACAAGGGUGGUCUCUCUGACAAAUGAACGUGAAAAAUGCUUUUCUACAUGGGGAUUUGAAGGAAGAAAUCUAUGUCUCCACCUCCCGGUAUGUUUGCUACACCUUUCUUAGAGGUUUGUCGGUUGCGCCAAUCUUUAUAUGGGUUGAAACAAGCUUCGCAUGUAUGAUUUGAUAAAUUUCGCUCUACUCUGCUUGGUUUUCACUUUACGCAGAGUCAGUUUGAUUCCUCUUUGUUUCUUUGCAAGACUUCUGCAGGAAUUGUGUUGCUUCUAGUAUAUGUUGAUGACAUUGUGAUUAUUGGCUCUGAUGCUGCGUUACUUACGCAAUCACCAUCUCAAGGCCUCUUUUCACAUGAAAGAUCUUGGUCCCUUGCAGUACUUUCUUGGCCUUGAGGUGCAGCUUACUCCGACUGAUACAUUGUUACACCAACACAAAUACACAGAGGAAGUAAUUUCAUUAGCUGGCCUCUAAUUGGGUAAUUCUGUUCUUACUCAUUUGGAGGUAAAUCUUAAGCUUUGUCAAGAUGAAGGUGACCUUCUAUCAGAUCCAUCCUUGUAUCGGCAACUUGUUGAGAGUUUGAACUACUUGACGAUUACUUGUCCUGAUAUUUUUUUUGCUAUACAGCAGGUAAAUCAAUUUAUGCAGGCCCCUUAAAAGCUUCACCUAGUCGUUGUUCAUCGCAUUAUUUGAUAUAUGAAGGGCAACUCUACAUGCAGAUAAUACACUCAUUUCUUGGAAGAGCAAGAAGCAAGACAGAGUUUCCAAGUCCUCUACUAAUUCUGAAUAUCAUGCUAUGUCUUCCGCCUGCUCCGAGAUCACUUGGCUUCGUGGGUUAUUGGGUGAACUUAGUUUUCCUCAGCAUCAUUCCACUUCUGUUCAUGCUGAUUAUACCAGUGUUGUGCAGAUCACCGCUAAUCCUGUCUUCGAUGAGCGCACAAAACAUAUCGAAGUCGAUUGUCAUUCCAUACGUGAAUCCUUUGACCGGCAUAUGAUAACUCUUCCUCACAUUUUCACCGAACAUCAAACUGCAAAUAUUUUCACUAAAGCUCUUUCUUGGCACUAACAUCAGUUAUUGGUUGACAAAUUGAUGUUUCUUAAUCUACUAGCAUCAAUUUGAGGGAGGAUGUUACAUAGAUAAUUUAGAGAUUUGAGUUGUACUAUUUUAGGGAUGUUUUCUUACCUUGUAUAGCAUUUGGAUGCUGAAAAUCUGCCAUUAAUACUUACCUUGUAUACUAUUUAGGUGCUGUAAAUCUGCCAUUAAUUAUGUAAAUCUUCUCUAUAUAAUGAAGGGAAUCUCUAUGAAAA